UAUUAUAAUAUGAAUACGUUAUCACAACGAAAAGGGGUUGGGUCUUAUGGGCACAGUAGUAUGCCAAGAAUGCCAAACAAUCAUUGAACAGUAUGAAGAAGAGAAAGUAACAACUCUUUAUGGUACUUGUCCGACUUGUCGUGAAAAUAAAUAAGCUAUACAAAAAAGCUGCUGGAGGCAGCUUUUUUGCUG
rnacentral:sRNA from 1 species